GAUAAACGCUGGCGGCGCACAUAAGACAUGCAAGUCGAACGGAAGUCGUUACGAAACGGAAUGACGAUUUAUCUGAAUGAAGUUUUGUAACAAUGGCUUUAGUGGCGGACUGGUGAGUAACACGUAAGCAAUCUGCCUAUUAGAGGGGAAUAACAAUGAGAAAUCAUUGCUAAUACCGCAUAAGCUUGUAAUAUCGCAUGAUAUAGCAAGAAAAGGAGUAAUCCGCUAAUAGAUGAGCUUGCGGCUGAUUAGCUAGUUGGUUAGGUAACGGCUGACCAAGGCGACGAUCAGUAGCCGAACUGAGAGGUUGAUCGGCCACAUUGGGACUGAGACACGGCCCAGACUCCUACGGGAGGCAGCAGUGGGGGAUAUUGCGCAAUGGGGGCAACCCUGACGCAGCAACGCCGCGUGAAGGAAGAAGGUUUUCGGAUCGUAAACUUCUUUAAGUGGGGAAGAUAGUGACGGUACCCACAGAAUAAGCCACGGCUAACUACG
rnacentral:rRNA from 1 species